AUGUUUUGUGAAAGUACUGCAGGCUCUCAGAGGUAUCUCUGGGGUGUACAUGAGUGCACACUCCUGGCAGAAGAACGGAGGCAGCAGAGGUGUGAUAAGACUAGGACCAAGAUGGAGAAAAACAAGACCAGAGUUUCAGAGUUCUUCAGGACACCACAUCCUCAUGACCCUGCAGAAGAAACUGGAAAAACACCACUUCAACUUGUAAUUGGAUACAAGCGCUGCCUUGACGGCCCUGGAAGCCAAGAAUUUUCCACGCGAUGGAGCCUCCCCUAUGUUCCCUGCUGGUGGACUUUGACCACAGUAUGAAGUGAUCUCUUCUAGGAAAGGAGACAGCUGCUGAGGUUCUGCUCCUGCCUGGCCCUUCUGCUCACACCACCUGCAGGGGUAAGGGCAGCGGCAGAAGAGUUUUAUGGAGACCAGGAUGUGGACAGAGACCUCCGACGCCUUGACACCAUAGGCCACAAAACACCUAACAACCUGUUGUACGUAUUACUCGAGGGUGCCUAGACCAAUUAAGCACCUCUAGAGAUGGCUUAGCAUUUUUAUUUUC
rnacentral:lncRNA from 1 species